GAAUCAUCAAAUUACAUUUCAUUCAGAUUCGGUGAUUAAAUGAGACUAAUUAACUUAAAACUCAUGAAAGUCUCCAAUGAAAAUUCGCAUCCUACCGAGAGAACCUGGGGAAGGUUACUCAAAGCUUCCGUGGGACCACUAGCGCCAGUGGGCACAUCCGGAGCAAACACAUCGGAGACACAUUUUCCUUUCUUUGUGAACUCAGCCUCAACUCAAAGGACUCAGGAAUGUAAUUCAUUCAGAACUGGAAAGAAUCUCUUUUGAAACAGUGAGCUGGUUUUAGGGGAAGAAGUUAAAGAUUUGGAGCUCAAGAGGAUUUGAUUCACCAUUAUUGGUGUGAAGAUAGAGAGGAGUCAUGGCAAAGGAUGUGGGCAGCCUACAGGAGCUGAAGGAAGCCCCAGGCAACAGCCAAGAAGGAAACAGGACCUCCUUUUUAGAACCACAGGAACAGAAUUCUGCUGACAAGAAUAAGCUUGAAAAGUGGAGUCUUCCCCAGAGCAUCCAGAAGAACACUCAGCCGGGGCCUCAUGAUACCCCCAGCUGAGGCCCCAGCCAUGCCAUACUCUGAAUCACAAACCUGUGAGUUAAUA